UAUGCCCACAUCAAGGUGAAACACUAGUUCCUGUAUGAUCUCUGAAGUUAAGUCAUGUCCAGCCUGGUCAGUGCCUAGAUGGGUCACCACUUGAGAAUAUCACGCGCUGUAAG